CAAAAUCAAGAGUUAGGGGCUCAAUCAACUGUGUCUCCCAGGGACCCCCCCCCCACAAAAAUUAUUAAUAAUAUUUAGAAUUAUAAAUAUUAACUAUGAGAAUGUGCUUCCUAGACCCCCAAUUACAGCAGCAGCAUCCUAGGGUCCCGGGGGCUGUUCUCUGAUAUCCAUCGUGGCUUCUGCACUGACACCAUGUUUCCCUCCGACGCCCCCAGGCAACAACUGGGCCGGGUAGGGAUGCCAAGGACACCAGAUCCCGGGGGCAGUAGGUCUCCAGGAAUGGCUGUUUUGGGUUUGAGGAUUCCCUGGCUACUCUGUGGAAGCUUCUUCAGACUGUCCUGAGGUACAGGACACUCGUGCCCAACCUUCUCUCUUUCACUCCUCUUUGGGGUCCUACGGAGUCUGAGUGCUCCCUCCACCGACCAGCCUCCCUCCCUCUUUUCUCUCAGAAAGACAUUUCCCCAAUCCCGUUUUGGCAUCUGCUUCUCAGAGCACCCAAGUGAACAAUGGUAUUGCUUCCCUCCUAUUUGUUGCAAGGAACGGCUGAAAAGGGAAAAGCUUGAGCACGCUGCCUGGCAUGUGGUCAGUGCUCAUCGUUGUCCCACAUCACAGGUAGAAGUCCUGUUACUGUAUCAGUGUGAAUCGACUGAUGUCAGUAAAAAGGAGAGUAGAGGUGAUGAAUGCUGCAUGACCUCGGUUGAGAGAGGGGGCCACCGCGGUGUCUGCUGCCGGCAUGUUCCAGCCACUGGGUUCAUGGCUCGGGAGCCCAGCAGAGAGGACCCCCACUCACGUGGCACUGGGUGCAGCUCGGGGGCGUCAGUGCCCGGCAGAGUUGGGGGGCCAGGGGAGAAUGAUGGGAAGACAGCAUGCCUUCAAGUAAAACAGGGGCUAUGGGAAGCUAGGGUGACUCACAGGAUUUCUCUCAAAACCCCCGAGCCCAUGGCAUCUAGAAUGUGCUGAGUGUGGGGCCCGCCAGCCCAAUCUUGCCUCGGUUCUAAGAAUGUGUCUCUUCCCUCCCCUCCCACAGUUGUCAAAAUUAAUCAGGCCCCUGAUUUCAGCAGUAUUUCUCUCUUCUCUUAGAAGAAUUUGGCAAAGAAAACUGGGUUAUAUCCCCGCACAGGAGGCCGCAGAGAUCAGGGGUGAUUGGGAGGAAACGUGAGAGCUGUUAUCUCUAGCUUGGGUUUCAGAACGUGGUUCUCCCUGCUCACAUGUGCGGGGACAGCCCGGUUAGGUGAGGCAGGUCAGGCACGUGGUGUGGAGCAGGCAGGAACCCUGGACUCUGACAGCUCCAUACCACGUUCUGCCUCUUCCCCGGGCCAGCUGGAGGUCUCUAACUUCUAUAAGCCUCCAUCUCCUGCUAGUGGGUCGUGACAGGAGAGCAUCUUUCUCGUUACAUUUUGGGGAGAAUUAAACAACUAAUCAGUGGUAAACCCUCAGCCCGGUUCCUCGCACCCAGUGCCCGAAGCCCAGUGAAGACACCGCCAGUCCCUGUUUGGAGACCCCUGGUCCCCUUGAUGAUCGUCCCUCCUGUUUUCUUUUGAAUUCUGACCUCCAACAGCCCUAUAUGGUAGCGGUAUCAUUAUCCCCAUUUUAUAGAUUUGUAAACUGAGGCUCAGCUUACGUACCUAGUGAACAAACACUUGCGGUACAAGACCUUAAUAGAGCCUGUUGGAACACUUCCCAGAGGCAAAGAGGCAGUGAAAGCAACUCAGGCCACAUUUAGAGGCCAACAGCCUUCAUGGACUGGAAGGACUGGAAGGGCACAGCAUAGGCCCUGUCCCUCCCCGCCCCCAAGUCCCCAAGUUGAAACAUGACCCCUGUAGAUGGGGGGCACCAUGCAUUUCCUCUUUGUUCAUGUGUCACCGAUGCCUGCCCUUACUGCUCUUCUUCAAACUGCCCUCUUCUCUCCUCCUACCCCUGACUCCUCACUCUGGGCACUCUCUCCUCCGCCCAAGGCUUUAUUUUUAAAAAUUGUUUUUACCGAAAUAUAAUGUACAUCUCCAAAGCGACCCUCCUUAAUGUUUUCCCCACAAAGAGCUGAUCACAUCUAAGAAUCUGUAUAGCUUACUUAUCAUGAGUGGAAUCCAAGGUCCACAAGGGCAAGGUUUUGUGUCGGCUUGGUUCACUGCUCCCCCCAAUCCCCACCCCAUGCCUGGCCUGCAGGAGCCUCGCAGCCUCCUUGCUGCUCACAGAGGAGGAGGAAGCACGCGGCUGAGCCCCGCCUCCCUGACUUGAGGGUUUUGUGCAGAGCAGCCUCAGCCACGGAAUGAGUAAGCGCCAGAGGGCGUGGUCGACAACGGCGGCACGUGCUCUGGGUCAGGAGCGUCCCCUGUCGAUCGUCUGAGAGCCCCGGAAGGCCUCCUGGAGGACAUGAAUGGACACCCUGAUGCUCAGAAUUCUCCUGUCACCUGAGCCAGGGGCUCCUUCCCUGAUAAAGGGGAAGCCUUCCCUCUGUUAAACCCCAAUCCCUCCUGUUGCUGUUUCAACCCAUUUCCUCUUGUUCUACCCUCAGCGGGUCCUGUGGCAGUAACCGCACUAACCAUUCCAACCCAUUUCAUUCCUCCGCCUAGUGUCCCAGCAGGUGGAGCAGGGCCUGCGCCAGACACAUUGCCCACACCCGUGUGCAGCCCAGAGGGGCAAGCUGACGGCGCGGUGCCCUUGGAGGAGGGCGAGCCCAGGGAGGCCCUACCCCAGGUACCUGUCGGAAAGCCAACACACUGGAGGAGCUUCCGGAACUAAGGCUGAGUGGGUGGGUGAAGGGGGGACUACAGGAUGCCCUGAGAAGUCCUUCUAAUGACCCAGCUUCUGUCUAGACUUGGCGAUGACCUCAUCAAAACAAAUUUUUGCUAUUUCACUUUACUAUUUAUUUCUGUUUCGUGUUUUAUUUUUGGCCACUUUUCCCCAAAGAGAAGCUUCCGAAAUUGUUUUCAACGUGGUUCAAAGGGCAGAGCUGAAUAAAAAUGUGAGAAAAUCAAAGAAAGAAGAAAAGAAAAAUGAGAAAGUAAGGAGAGGCUCUGGACUGGAGUUCUCUGAACUCAGUGGCUGGAGUCACCAGUGGAGGGGUGCACCCCCUCCUGGGAAGGAGUUGGUAGCUGUGUAACCCUGUAACCGCAGCCCUAGGCCAGAGACCACGCUCCUUCCUUUCCGCUCCUCCAGAUGACCCUGGAGAGGGGCAAGUGAUGGCCUCCUUGCAAUUAUUCCAGAAUGACUUGCAACGAGAGAACUUUACACAGUGAAACUGGUGCAGCUUCAGCUUCUGAGUCCUGAUGUGCACGAACCAAUUUUCUCAUUUGGGAUCUGUAAACUCUAAUUUAUUUUUUCUGAAAGCCUUUACAUUAUUGAGGCUUUGGGCCCCACAAACCUAGAUCCAUUGCUUCCUAUGUUCCACUAUGGCAGAAAAUGCAAGCCAUACACUAAAAGGUCUUUCAGUUUCCACCAUUGUUGCUGGGAAGUGGCCAUCCAGCCAGGGUCACACUUCCGGCUCCUCUGUGACCAGGUCUUAUCAGUAGAAUGUGGCGGAAAGGAUAUGUCCACCAUUCCCUGGCCUGACCUCUUCACACCUUUUAAGCCUAUUAAAAUCUAUAAGAACAUGUUAAAACCUACAAUCCUUUUCCCCUUCCCUUGUCUUCUGGCUGCAUCCGGGACAACAAUGGAAGCCACGUGUGGAGGGCAGCAAGGUGUAAUAAAGAGUUUGACUCCA